CGGCAAUGAAAGCCAUGCAGCUCUUGCGGCUCCGUUCUGUGAGGUAUGACACACUGCAAUGAGGCCCAGGCUUUUCCAAGGCAUAUGGGUGCGGCACAGUGGAACGAAUGAAUGCUGCAGGGGGACAUAUUCACGGCGACUGGGCCCCAGCUGCUGUCAAAUCCCUUUUGGGAGCGCUUGGAGAGCUGCGUUCCCAAAGGAGUCUGCGUGUGCCAGCAGCAAUUUCCGUGAAAAGUGAAAGUGUUUCUAUUGACAUGGAUACAGCGAUGUAUCAGGGCAAGAGACAGGCCUGCUGAUGAGGUAACCUCCUCAAAGAAUGACACCAGAUUUGUCUCAUGAGACCGUACAGCUAUGCUGACUGGCAUUAAUUUCAUUCCUAUUGUAAGUCUUGAGCACUUGAAUUCUGUACCUGGUUUUCCAUUAUUUUGCCUGGGAUUGAUGUCUGGCUAACCAACCUAGGAGAUAUGCCUCAUCAAACUGGCCCUCGUGCAUGGCCUUCUUAUAGAUGAUAUCAUUGCCCCAUUUGAGCCAAGCAGCUAGUCAAAGUUUGGAUCCCUGGGUAUGUUCCAUCUGGGAGCAGCAACGGUUGAUAGGCGGAUAUUUCUCUGCAAAUAAACAA